rnacentral:rRNA from 1 species
UACAGAGGGUGCAAGCGUUGUUCGGAAUUAUUGGGCGUAAAGGGCGCGUAGGCGGUGCGGUAAGUCUGUAGUGAAAUCUCUGGGCUCAACUCAGAGUCUGCUGCAGAAACUGCCGUGCUUGAGUGUGGGAGAGGUGAGUGGAAUUCCCGGUGUAGCGGUGAAAUGCGUAGAGAUCCGGAAGAACACCGGUGGCGAAGGCGGCAUCCUGGACCAUUACUGACGCUGAGGCGCGAAAGCUAGGGGAGCAAACGGG